GUCCUUGUCGAUUAGGGGUUAAAUCAUCUCGUUGUGGUUUCUGCUCCGAGAAGCCGGAAGUUCGAAUCCUCCCUGGGACA
rnacentral:tRNA from 1 species